rnacentral:misc_RNA from 1 species
GUUUGAUUGGGAUGCACAUGCCUGUCUGUUGGAUUGAAUUAGUUGAUUGUGCCGAUUUCAAAACCUUAGAACCUCACUCUCCUUUGCCUAGAAUGAAUCCAAAACCUGCUGAAAGCAUCCCCUGUAACGAAUUAUCAAUGCCUCCCCUGAUUUUAAGCAUCUUCUUCCGUUGUUGUUGUUUUUUUUUUGGCAGUUUCUUUUGUUCUCUCUCUGGUUGUGUGAAUUUUUUGGUUAAAAUUUUUGUGAUGGUAAGAAUGGUCCCUGGUUAUUCUUUUUCCCCUGUUUAACUGUUAACACUCAAAAUUCUAUAUUGUUUUCUUGGACUUUAUAAUUAAAAUUUCUAUAGAGAUUAUAUCCUUCAAAUUUUCAAUAUUUUUAUUUAAUUGCCUUUUGAUUGAAUCAAAUAAGUUUAGUUGAAGCUUUGAUCUUUGAUUGGGUAUUUGAAAGUUGGCAUUACUGUGUGAAUUUGUGAUGCACUGGACAUGAUUCCCUUGAUACUUUCCCAUCCUCUAUUAGUUCCGUGUUUGAUGUUGGGAUUUAGUUUAUUAAUGUGGCGCUCAUGUGGAAACUAUAGUUAAUUUAAAUCAGAAUGCAAAAGUUGUGGGUGUGCAAAUAGUUGAAUUUCUGUCAGCUCCUGUG